rnacentral:rRNA from 1 species
CGCUACUACCGAUUGAAUGGCUCAGUGAGGCUUUCGGACCGGCUCAGGGAGAGUGGCAACACUCACCCAGGGCUGGAAAGUUGUCCAAACUUGGUCAUUUAGAGGAAGUAAAAGUCGUAACAAGGUU